UCUUCAAUGGUAUAAUGGUAGAACUCACGCCUGUCAAAUAGUGAGAGUCAAAUCCCACUUUGAUUGUGCGCGUGCGACCUGGGUUCGAUUCCCAGUUGGAGAG